CUUCGUAGAUGUGAGAGGGCAACUGGAUUCUCGGGGAAGAUGCAAGUGCCAGGGUGCAGGGGCCAAAGCCAUCCGCCCAAACCGCAUUGAGAGGCUAGAGGUGUUACCCCCUUCCUUGGCAUGCCCCAAUCUGGAAAUCAUUGUCACUCUGAAGGAUAAUGGAGGACAAAAGUGUCUGGAUCCAAACAGCAGUUUUUCCAAGAAUUACAUCAAGAGAGCCAUCAAAAAGAGGAGUACACAGUAAAUUCCUUUGGAUCUCUUUCUGAGAGGCAGCUAAUAUUGAAAAUGCACUUUUUUUCUCUACACAACAUAGAGACUCCUAUUUUUAUUUUUUAUAACAUGGAUGUUAUCUCAGAAUACUUUUAUAUUUAUUUGAAUGUUAGGCCUAUAUUUGGGAUGUGUGUUACAGUCCGGUGUCUAUUUGGUGAGAUGUUGUUUAAAUUUGUUAUGUUUAUGAAAAUAUCUACACUGAAAGUUGAAAUAAUUUAUGUCAUGCUAAACGGAUGCGUUUUAAUUAUGUUGUAAAUAUA